rnacentral:snRNA from 1 species
AGUAUCGUAGCUAAUGAGGUUAAUUCGAGGUGCGAUUAUUGCUAGUUGAAAACUUUUCCCAUU